GACGAACGCUGGCGGCGUGCUUAACACAUGCAAGUCGAACGGUAAGGCCCUUCGGGGUACACGAGUGGCGAACGGGUGAGUAACACGUGGGUGAUCUGCCCUGCACUUCGGGAUAAGCCUGGGAAACUGGGUCUAAUACCGGAUAGGACCCUGGGAUGCAUGUCCUGGGGUGGAAAGCUUUUGCGGUGUGGGAUGGGCCCGCGGCCUAUUAGCUUGUUGGUGGGGUGAUGGCCUACCAAGGCGACGACGGGUAGCCGGCCUGAGAGGGUGACCGGCCACACUGGGACUGAGAUACGGCCCAGACGCCUACGGGGGGCAGCAGUGGGGAAUAUUGCACAAUGGGCGCAAGCCUGAUGCAUCGACGCCGCGUGAGGGAUGACGGCCUUCGGGUUGUAAACCUCUUUCAGCACCGACGAAGCGCAAGUGACGGUAGGUGCAGAAGAAGGACCGGCCAACUACGUGCCAGCAGCCGCCGCAG
rnacentral:rRNA from 1 species